UCUUUUUUCUUUUUUUAUAAAAAUUUCCCCUUGUUUUCCUGUAUUGUGCUUCCUGGAGCUGCCUGAAGCCCAGAUGCCGGAGCCUCACAGAGGAGACAACAGAACUCAGAUUUAUCUGAGCCUCCCGAUGGGGGGAGAGCCAGACGAACCACUUGACCCAAGGGAUUUGGCGGCCAUGAUACAGAAAAAUUAAAUUUCAUCCUCAUGGCACAUAUGCAGGUCUGCCUGCAAGUGGAAGCUCCUUCCAUGGCAUAAGUAGUUGAAACUGCUGCCCGUUUGUGAAAUUAUCAGUUCAGAUAUCAUUACAGUUUGUGAAUUAUGAUUGCAUAAAACUGUUGGUUAAUGCCUCUUUGGGAACUCAAAACAUUUGAUUUGUGCUUA